UACGAAGGGUGCAAGCGUUACUCGGAAUUACUGGGCGUAAAGCGUGCGUAGGUGGUUCGUUAAGUCUGAUGUGAAAGCCCUGGGCUCAACCUGGGAAUGGCAUUGGAAACUGGCGACCUAGAGUGCGGUAGAGGGCAGUGGAAUUCCCGGUGUAGCAGUGAAAUGCGUAGAGAUCGGGAGGAACAUCUGUGGCGAAGGCGACUGCCUGGACCGACACUGACGCUGAGGCGCGAAAGCUAGGGGAGCAAACGGG
rnacentral:rRNA from 1 species